rnacentral:rRNA from 1 species
UACGUAGGGUGCGAGCGUUGUCCGGAAUUACUGGGCGUAAAGAGCUCGUAGGUGGUUUGUCGCGUUGUUCGUGAAAACUCACAGCUUAACUGUGGGCGUGCGGGCGAUACGGGCAGACUGGAGUACUGCAGGGGAGACUGGAAUUCCUGGUGUAGCGGUGGAAUGCGCAGAUAUCAGGAGGAACACCGGUGGCGAAGGCGGGUCUCUG